GGGCCCAUAGCUCAGUCGGUUAGAGCAGGAGACUCAUAAUCUCUUGGCCCAAGGUUCGAGUCCUUGUGGGCCCACCA
rnacentral:tRNA from 1 species